CUCAUCAUAAGUAGACAUUAAAAGCACAUAACUCGUGAACAAUUUCUAAAACGAGGCAAUCUACUGUCAAUCAAGUUGAUGAAACAAGAUUAUCAACAGUCGCGAUUGAAGUCAUCAUUUCGUAAUUAAGUUCUAUUGUCAAUACAAAGACUUUGUCAGCAAAUACAAUAUUCCGCUAAAUUAAAUGCUUACUUAUGUUUUUCAUACAUAUUGCUAGGUCAUUAUUUAUUUACCGAUUUGACUUUUCAUUUUACCGAUCAUGAUGACAAAGAGCACACGGCAGGUGUGACCGGUCAGCAGAGGAUGCUUACUCCUCCAUGGCACCUGAUCCUACCUAUAAUUUUUUUAGAGGUCCGUGUUUGCUCUGCUCUUGAUUUGUAAUUUUCAUUUUGGACUACGAGUUCAAUUGUUGUUCUUUAUUGUUGCUUUUCAUGGUAGUGUCCCAUUCAGAACUCACAAACAAUAGACACUAAAAGCCCAUAACACAUGAACAGCAACAGACACAAUUGUAUUCAACAAAAUGUAGAAUUAUGAAUACAUUGAUAGUUUUCUUUUGUAUAGAAAUUUUUUUCAUAUCAUACUUUGUAGACAAAAAUUGCUAUAAAAAGACACAUGGACCCAGUCGUUUACAAAUGCGUGUGUAAUGAAGUAAAUUUUAAAGCCUAUACAUUUGCAAGUUAUAAUUUACAUUUAAAAUGAAAUGGAUUAAAAUGGAUAAAAUACUGCACAGAUGAUGUGUAAAGUCCAUUGAUUGUGGGGUCAACAGGAAGUGUUAAGUUACACAUGGCAAAAAUGGAUGGAGAAACUCCUGCUGGAUUUAUUCUUUUUUAUUCUGCAUAUGAUUAUUCCCAGGCUUGCUCAUUUUGCUCAGAUUUUGAUAUUGAUGUUCUAGAGAUCUUCAUCAAUGGUUUUUGCUGUUUAACGUUUUUUUGUCUCCCAGAAUUUCAUGCAUGUAGAGCAUUUUGUGUCCUUUCUGGCUUUGCAGUAGAAAAAUUCUUAAAGCUUUAAUAAUUAUUAUGAAGGUAAGUUAUAUUAAAUAGAAUAAUAAACAAUUAUAUAUUUUUAUGUAUUAUUAUAGAUUUACUUAUUGUGUUACAAGUUUAGCGUAUAUGUCAUGAAGCAUCAGCUUUAAGAUUAGAAGACAGUAAGUUGUUGUGUUCAUUCUUUUGAUGGAAUAAUGUCUGUGUAUAAAGUGAUAUUUGGUAACCCAUGACUGAAAGGAAAGGGGUAGCCAUUUUGUUAGAGACAAAAAUUUUAGGAUGGAGAGACGAGAAGUUUUUGUUAUAGGAUUGUAUGUUGUUUUAAGCUUAGCAUUAAGAGUUCUUGUGGUUUUUUUCAAUAGCAAUUCAAAAUUUAGUCAGUUUGGUGUACAUUUAAUUUUGGGAGUUUCUUUUGUAAUUGAUCUGAUAUUCUUCAUAAUUGCUCUGGUGUAUUUCUCCAUCUGGCCAAAAAGAAUUUAAGGUAUGUAAAACCUCAUAAGAUUGUCAAUCAUGUCAUUUAAAUGAGUUUCAUUAACCAUAUGAGGUUAUAAAAGCAGGUAAUGCAAUAUUUCAACAUACUGUGAACCAACUGUUUAUAAAUUAUAGUGAGGUUGGUAACUCAGAAUUUUGUAAUUGUGUUGAAUAUAUUAUAUAACGUGGAAUUUCUCUUUUUAAAAAUUACAUAUUUGAAUCUAAGUAAUUUCAGUUAAAUUCCCAUUUUUUUGUGAGGGAGAAUUGAAGUCUCCCUUGAAUUUUGCUCUAAGUUGUCCCUGCCACAUAAAUAAACGGACUGCUAUUAAAUCUUAGUCCUAAAAAUGUUUGAAUAAGCUGCACAAUAUUUCUUAAUAGUAAAGUAUUGAAAAGAGUUAUUCAUUACUCAUUGAGAGCAUGUUGCCAAAAAUGGAGGACAUAACAAAUUUUCUUUGGUCUGAGGUUGCAUUGUUGAGUAUGAUAUUGUUGGUGAUGAUUUUCAUUGUGGUGAUCGGUGCAAUGAUUUUGAGAACUGUCAGAAAAUGGAACAGAAUUUUUUAUUCUUGGAAUGAAAGACUAAUGCAGUAGACAUACAUUUUUUUGCAUUGAACAUUUAAUUUCCAUCUGUGGUUUGCUUUAAAUAUUGUCACUAAAACUGCAACUGUAACAGGUAUGUAUGAGUCAUUAAAAAUUUGACAUGUUGAAGAUUUGUUUAAUUAAAAUAGAAUGUGAAAAAAUCCUUCUCAUUAAAAAUUCAAAUAAAUAUUUAAAAAAUAUAAUUAGGCAAUUUAUUAGGAUAAAUCAGAGAGAGGAGAUCAAGAGAAGUAGUUAGUACAUUUUACCCAAGAUAAACACAUAGAUUGGUUGUUUCAUUGUUUUGUUUGAAAAUAAAAAACUAUGCUUUUGGUUUAUAGGUUGCAAUGGGAAGGAGGAAAAGGAAACUGGCAUCGGGAGAUUCAUGUACUGCAACUGCAAAGAAGUUAAUCAAAACAUGUAGUACUACUGAAACUGCAAAGAAGUUAAUCAAAACUGGUGAUUUUGUUUGGGCAAAACUGCCUUCAACUUCCUACCUCUGGCCUGUAAAAAUAGAAAAAGUGGAUAUUUCAGAUGAUCAUGAAGAAUAUCAUGUGUAUUGUAAGGCAGAUACUGUAAUAUAUUUUGCGGAAAAAAAAUGCAACAUUGCAAGCAUUUCAAAACGAUGUCAAGUGGGCCUUGGAAUCUAUAGAAGCACAACCAGGCGAUCACCCUCAUCAGUUAGAUGUAGUAGAGUUUAAUGGCAGAGAGUCAUAUAAAGGAUCUGGUUCUGUUGAUGCAGUGAUUGAGUCUGUCCUUGAAGAUGCAUAUGCAGGUGA